UGCGGCUGAUAUUGCACAUAACGUAUUAAUCUUUCGCCUUUUACUAAAGAUUACCGUGUGUAGUGUUACUAAGGCCGCUUAGUAAAAUUUGUGGAGCCCUUUAAGGGAU
rnacentral:snRNA from 1 species